AUGUCUUUUUUUUUGUGGACUACCAUGACAUUCCCACUUGAAAAAGACAGACCAUUAAACAUUUUAUUUAUUACUUUUGGCAGUCAGUUUCAGCCAACUGCCUGUGCUUUUUGUUUCAUUUAUAGCAUGACAGAAAGGACAAUGGGGCUGCCGGGCAGGCUCCCACAUUUUGGGAUUCUGCUCUGUGCACAGCUUUUCUGCUGCCAUUUUGGAGGAAGAAAGGGACCUAUGACAAUAGUUACGACAGCAGAUGUGAUUUUUAUGUGGUACCAGCUCUUUCCCACUGCAAAGGAACACUAAGAAAUACAGCAAGCAUGUGGCAGAAUUAGAGAGGAUCCAGUGAAUUACAUCCCUUCUCCCUGGCAAUAUUUGGAGCAAAAUGAGAGACGGAAAACAGAAAAACAAUUAUUCAUUCAUUCCACAAAUAGUUUCUUAACGCUUACUCCUACUUGUCACUCUUAAGGACACUGGUGGUAAAACGGUGAAUGAAACAAAACUAUCUGUGAUCAUGGGAGUUAAUGGUCUGCAGAAGGGGACUAAUGUCAGAUGGGUUGGAGGCCCACUACUCAAAACAGGAUAUGACGCACACUGCCCAGCUUUAACAACUGUGACUAGAUGCCAGUCCCAAGGCAUUGGCUGAUUCAAGCCUGGGUAUGCUUCAGCUUUGGAACCAAGUUCACACUCUGCAGAGAAGACACCGGCCACGCUCAAGAAAGUUCUCCCAUUUCUGGUCAAUGCGUGACUCCCUUAACGGAUUCACCUGAGAUUUGCAGAGAUGGUUUCAGGUCUUCAUCAUGGUAAGAGUAUUCCAAAUACCCAUUCCAUGUGCCCUACCUGGCAAUUUCACUUAUUUCAGAACUAAUAUCCUCUCCUGUUGUGUUUCUGUUGUGUUUCUAAUUCAGCGACAAUAUCCUUUCCUGAAUAGCUACCACAGAUGCUGGUAAAAGACAAAAGAUUUUACUGUUACAAGAAAGAAAGCCUAUUGUUGAAUGUGGCUUUAGACCUGGUGCCAAAAGGGCUUGCUUAGUCUUUACCUGUGAGGCACACAGUCUUAUCUUCACAACCUCAAAUAGUAUGAACAGUUGCAAGGAGGUGUCUUACUGAAGUGUGGAGAAUACAAACUUGGCAGCAGGAAAGUUAGCAAAAUAAAUAUAACCCAGAUUCAGCA
rnacentral:lncRNA from 1 species